rnacentral:rRNA from 1 species
AUACGGAGGAUGCAAGCGUUAUCCGGAUUUAUUGGGUUUAAAGGGUGCGUAGGCGGUUUGCUAAGCGGGAGGUGAAAUGCCGGCGCUCAACGUCGGAAGUGCCUCCCGAACUGGUGGACUGGAAUGACUCUGCCGUGGGAGGAAUGUGUAGUGUAGCGGUGAAAUGCUUAGAGAUUACACAGAACACCGAUUGCGAAGGCAUCUCACGAAGGGUUGAGUGACGCUGAGGCACGAAAGCGUGGGGAUCAAACAGGAUUAGAUACCCUGGUAGUCCACGCAGUAAACGAUGAUGACUAACUGCCGGCCCGUUGCGGGUCGGUGGCCAAGCGAAAGCGAUAAGUCAUCCACCUGGGGAGUACGACCGCAAGGUUUAAACUCAAAGGAAUUGACGGGG